UGUGUGUGUGUGUGUGUGUAUGUCUUUGUCUCUCUUCCUUUUUUUUCAAAGAUGCUUUGUGCAUGGUCUUUAAUAGUACAUGACAUCUUUUUAGGACUUGCUUUGUAGACCUGGCUGGCCUUGAACUCACAGAGAUCCGCCUGCCUCUGCCUCCCUGAAUGCUGGGAUUGCAGGCCUCCCCCCCCUCCCCCCCCCCCCCCCCCGGCUUGGCUCAGUGUGAAACAUCUUUAGCUGAAGGGGUUAAAAAGAACCGGAAACCUGCUGCUGGGGCUACACCGGGUGGACUCGCUUGUGGGGCCUACCCUGUGUGUAGUAGGAUGUUUAUUUCAAAGCAUCCCCGACCUCAGAACUCAGCAGAGGAGGUCGAUGCUCCCUAGCCUGCCCUGCGCUGUAACAAGCAGGCACUUCUCCAAACUUUGGCGAACGAUCCCGUCUUCAAGUGAUCCCAAAGGCAGCGGAGCUAGUGAAGAGCUGCCACCCGCGGCGUUGGGAGAGGGGAAGGAGAAGAAGCCGGAAUUGCUUAAAUUAGCGUUCUGCUGAUGCCGCUCUCGGCACCGCGCACAGUGAAGCCGGCUCUGCCGGUGCUGCCAAAACUGCAAACCGGACUCCAUUGCGGUUUGUGGGACGAAUCUGCACGCGUCAAAGUCCGCCGCCCUGACCGCUUCGGCCUUCCUCGAGCGCCCCCUGCAGGCAGAGCCAGGCAAGCCCCUUGGUUGAGGGGUUAGACCAGAAUGGGCUCCAGGAGAGACUCUCCGCUGAGGUCGUUCAUGCAUGAUCACGUGUGGUUCUCAGACUUUAAAGAGUUAGCUAACCACUCACCCGAGGCAGAGCUGGAACUCUCCGCAGGGCUGGAGGAAGAGCGCGGCAAGUUUGCAUGUACGCCAGUGGACAGCAGGAAGUCUGGAGAGCAUGACUGGUAUGCAGGAUAUCUGACAUGCCGCCUCUUCAAAGGCGCACAGACCCACAGGUUGAGAACCACUGGUCUAUCCCAUGGAGUGUUUCAGGACCCACACAGAGGCUGUUCUGUCACUAACGAAGACUGAAUGGCUUCACUGAGACACCAAAGAAAAGAAUUGUGGGAGAGUAUAUGACCAAUGUGAUUAUGGAGUGGAAGAGCCCGUUAAAAGAAAAAUGAACCAACCAAAAAGUCUCCAAAUGCUUGGUUAUUUCAAAAAGGAAAAAAAAUAGUUUAUACUGUGUAAUUACUAUAUUAAUGUAACUAUUUUAUUGUAUGUUUUUCAAAGUAUACUUAUAGUAACUUAAGUCAUAAAAAUAAAUGGAAACUUCCUUUCUUUUCUUUUCCCCAUACCUCUUUGAGACAGGCUUCUAUUAUGUAGCCAAGGUGGCCUCAAACUCAGUCAUUUUUCCAGCAUAUCUCUUGAGUGCUGAGAUUACAGGCAUUCAGAGCUAUUCAUGGUUUAUAUAACCCUUUCCAUCAGCACCCCAAUACUAUAAUCUUUAUAAUUAGAUUUAAUUUUCUUACUAAUGGAGUAAAUUAUCUCGUUUUCUGGUUAUAUUUUAAAUCCUCCACUUAAACAAAGCUUCUAGCUCUGUUUCCAGUUCUCACCUUAAUCUUGAACCUGAAAAGAUCUUGGGGACCUGAACUGAGUGAUACUAAGUGUUAAUGAGGAGAGAUGCAGAUGUGAAAAUUAGUUAUGAGAUGGAUAUAAGAUAUGUUGUUCUAUUCCUGCUGCUAAAGAUUUAUAUUUAUAAAGAGAAGUUUGUUUAUAUUA